GAGAGGUAGUGAACGGCUGACCGUGAGGAGGAAAGUCCCCCCACCGUAAAAAGGCGGACUCCCGCAAGGGAGUAUGCCGAGAGGCAUGGCAACGGCACAGAAACGAUACCCGCAUGGGGAAAUGCGAUGAAGCAAAUGCAGAGGUCACCCAUGCGGGAUGAAACGGCCGUCCCCGCUGGUGCAAGCGUAUGCGCUUAGAUUAAUGCCGUUUUGAACAGAAGGGGGCUUACUACUACCUCUC
rnacentral:RNase_P_RNA from 3 species